AAAGUCGUAACAAGGUUUCCGUAGGUGAACCUGCGGAAGGAUCAUUAACGAGACUUGCCUUUUGGCAGACCUCCCACCCCCUGUGUACCGUACUUGUUGCUUUGGCAGGCCCGUCCCUCGGGACCGCCGGCGUUCGCGCUGGCCCGCGCCUGCCAGAGGACCAAAAAAUCUUGUUUUACAUGUCGUCUGAGUAAACUUUAUAAUAAUUAAAACUUUCAACAACGGAUCUCUUGGUUCUG
rnacentral:misc_RNA from 1 species